rnacentral:rRNA from 1 species
CCCUUAGAUGUUCUGGGCCGCACGCGCGCUACACUGAUGCAUUAAACGAGUCCAACCUUGACCGAGAGGUCCGGGUAAUCUUUGAAACUGCAUCGUGAUGGGGCUAGAUUAUUGCAAUUAUUAAUCUUCAACGAGGAAUGCCUAGUAAGCGUGAUUCAUCAAAUCGCGUUGAUUACGUCCCUGCCCUUUGUACACACCGCCCGUCGCUCCUACCGAUUGAGUGUGUUGGUGAGGAGUUUGGAUUGGCCUCGGAAGGUGGUUCGCCACCGUCCGUAGCUGAGAAGUUCUCCAAACCGCCCCACUUAGAGGAAGGAGAAGUCGUAACA